rnacentral:rRNA from 1 species
AUUGAACGCUAGCGGGAUGCUUUACACAUGCAAGUCGAACGAGGGGCGGACGAGUGAGUAAUAUAUCGGAACGUGCCCCGUAGCGGGGGAUAACUACUCGAAAGAGUGGUUAUUACCGCAUACUGUUGGAGGGGCCGAUAGCUGAUUAGCGAGUUGGGGGGGUAAAGGCUCACCAAGGCAACGAUCCGUAGCUGGUUUGAGAGGACGACCAGCCACACUGGGACUGAGACACGGCCCAGACGUCUACCGGAGGCAGCAUUGGGGAAUUUUGGACAAUGGGGGAAACCCUGAUCCAGCCAUCCGGCGUGUAUGAGAAGGCCUUCGGGUUGUAAAGUACUUUUGGCAGCGAAGCGGUACCUGCAGAAUAAGCACCGGCUAACUACGUGCCAGCAGCCGCGGUAAUUC